AACGAACGCUGGCGGUAGGCCUAACACAUGCAAGUCGAGCGCGCCCUCCGGGAUGAGUGGCGGACAGGUGUGUAACGCGUGGGAACGUUCCCUUCUCUGCGGGAUUCUACCGGUAAACUGAGGGUAAUACAGCGUAAGCUCCUCGGAUGACAGAUUUAUCGUACAAGUAUAGGCCCGCGUUGUUUUAGGUAUUCGCUGUGGGAAGGGCCCACCAAGCCGUCGCUACAUAGCUGGUUUGAGAGGAAGAUCCGCCACACUGAGACUGGGACGCGGCCCAGACUCCUGCGGGAGGCAGCAGUGGGGAAUCUAAGACAAUGGGGUCGACCCAGAACGAGCUAUGCCGGGUAAGUGAUGAAGUCCUGAGAGUUAUGAAGCUCGUUCAGCUGGGAAGAUAAUGACGGUACCAACAGAAUAAGCCCCGGCUAACUCCGUG
rnacentral:rRNA from 1 species